AUUGAACGCUGGCGGCAGGCUUAACACAUGCAAGUCGAGCGGGUGGCUUCGGCCAUCAGUGGCGGACGGGUGAGUAACGCGUGGGAACCUGCCCUGUGGUUCGGGACAACUCCGGGAAACUGGAGCUAAUACCGGAUGAGCCCUGCGGGGGAAAGAUUGAUCGCCAUGGGAGGGGCCCGCGUCGGAUUAGGUAGUUGGUGGGGUAACGGCCCACCAAGCCGACGAUCCGUAGCUGGUCUGAGAGGAUGACCAGCCACACUGGGACUGAGACACGGCCCAGACUCCUACGGGAGGCAGCAGUGGGGAAUAUUGGACAAUGGGGGCAACCCUGAUCCAGCAAUGCCGCGUGGGUGAUGAAGGCCUUCGGGUUGUAAAGCCCUUUCGCACGCGACGAUGAUGACGGUAGCGUGAGAAGAAGCCCCGGCUAACUUCGUGCCAGCAGCCGCCGUAAGAC
rnacentral:rRNA from 1 species